UAAGCGGAGGAAAAGAAACCAACAGGGAUUGCCUUAGUAGCGGCGAGCGAAGCGGCAACAGCUCAAAUUUGAAAUCUGGCUACUUUGUAGUCCGAGUUGUAAUUUGCAGAGGAUGCUUUUGGUGAGGUGCCUUCCGAGUUCCCUGGAACGGGACGCCAGAGAGGGUGAGAGCCCCGUACGGUUGGACACCAAACCUUUGUAUAGCUCCUUCAACGAGUCGAGUAGUUUGGGAAUGCUGCUCUAAAUGGGAGGUAUAUCUCUUCUAAAGCUAAAUACCGGCUAGAGACCGAUAGCGCACAAGUAGAGUGAUCGAAAGAUGAAAAGCACUUUGAAAAGAGAGUUAAACAGCACGUGAAAUUGUUGAAAGGGAAGCGCCUAUGACCAGACUUGUUUCUGUCAGUUUUGCUUGUUUUCGGACUUGUUUACUCUGUCAGUACAGGCCAACAUCAGUUUGUUGUUUGGGAGAAAGGCUUAGGGAAUGUGGCUCCCUCGGGAGUGUUAUAGCCCUUUGCAUAAUACCAUUCGGCAGACUGAGGACCGCGCUUCGGCAAGGAUGUUGGCGUAAUGGUCAUCAGCGACCCGUCUUGAAACACGGACCAAGGAGUCAACCUUAUGUGCGAGUGUUUGGGUGUAAAACCCCAGCGCGUAAUGAACGUGAACGUAGGUGAGAGCUUCGGCGCAUCAUCGACCGAUUCUGAUGUUCUCGGAUGGAUUUGAGUAAGAGCAUAUAGGGUUGGACCCGAAAGAAGGUGAACUAUGCUUGUAUAGGGUGAAGCCAGAGGAAACUCUGGUGGAGGCUCGCAGCGGUUCUGACGUGCAAAUCGAUCGUCAAAUAUGAGCAUGGGGGCGAAAG
rnacentral:rRNA from 1 species